rnacentral:misc_RNA from 1 species
GACGAACCGUGCAAACGUUAUUCGGAAUCACUGGGCUUAAAGGGCGCGUAGGCGGGUAAUCAAGACAAUGGUGAGAGCCUCCAGCUUAACUGGAGAAGUGCCUUUGAUACUGAUUGUCUAGAGUGAGGUAGGGGCUGUGGAACUUCCGGUGGAGCGGUGAAAUGCGUAGAUAUCGGAAGGAACGCCAGUGGCGAAAGCGAUGUGCUGGACCUUUUCUGACGCUGAGGCGCGAAAGCUAGGGGAUCAAACGGG